rnacentral:rRNA from 1 species
CCUACGGGAGGCAGCAGUGGGGAAUCUUGCGCAAUGGGCGAAAGCCUGACGCAGCAACGCCGCGUGCGGGAAGAAGGCUCUCGGGUUGUAAACCGCUUUCAGCAGGAACGAAAAUGACGGUACUUGCAGAAGAAGGUGCGGCCAACUACGUGCCAGCAGCCGCGGUGACACGUAGGCACCAAGCGUUGUCAGGAUUUAUUGGGCGUAAAGAGCUCGUAGGCGGUUCGGUAAGUCAGGUGUGAAAACUUUGGGCUCAACCCAAAGCCUGCAUCUGAUACUGCUGUGACUAGAGUUCGGUAGGGGAGCGGGGAAUUCCUAGUGUAGCGGUGAAAUGCGCAGAUAUUAGGAGGAACACCGGUGGCGAAGGCGCCGCUCUGGGCCGAAACUGACGCUGAGGAGCGAGAGCGUGGGUAGCAAACAGGAUUAGAUACCCUGGUAGUCCACGCCGUAAACGUUGGGCACUAGGUGUGGGUUUCAACCAACGAAAUCCGCGCCGUCGCUAACGCAUUAAGUGCCCCGCCGUCGGGAGGUACGGCCGCGAAGGUUAAAACGUAACGAAAGGAAAGUUAGACGGCGUGAGACGUUAGUCCGAAGGACGACGACGAGGGAGAGG